AAAAAAAAUGGUAAAACAUCCUAAUUUUAGGACUGAAUAAGCAAGGAAAAGAAUUUAAGGAAAGAAUAAGUGAGGUAGGAAAAGGGAAAAUAGACUUGAAGAAGAAUGCAGUGUGAGGUCAUUGUAAAAAGUCAUUCUCCAUUUUUAAAUAAUUAUUUUAUAUCAUCUCAUUGCAGUAUCAACAACUAGCAAUUUAGAAUAGACAUUUAUUUAAGGAAUUAAAAUAAUCUACAUAAGAUAAAAAAGAAAAGAGUAAAAAAAAAAAAGAAAAGCCAC